ensembl:rRNA 5S_rRNA 5S ribosomal RNA
AUCUACGGCCAUACCACCCUGAACGUGCCUGAUCUUGUCUGAUCUCAGAAUGGGCAGAGAUGGUUUGUAGAGCUUGGGCACAUGCACAAUUCUAUCAAGUGGUAAAACUGGAAUUG